rnacentral:misc_RNA from 1 species
GCCAAAAUAAACUUUACAUGUUAGAUUGCUGGCAGCAAUUUCGUCAAACGAUUUACAUAGCAAUUAGAACAUACCUUCAUCUUCUGUGGUUUUCUUUGCUAUAUACUAAAGCAUCUCAAUUACUGACUAUCAGAACACUUAAGUUGUACAUGAACUACAGCAUAUUAACAAAAAGCACCAUUUAGCCUGUCCCAAAUAGCACUCUCUACAACACACAUAAUUUUUUAAGUCGUACUUGUUUCUAUGCACAUGAAAGAGGCUAUUCUAUAGUACAUUUCAAAUAAAAUUUUCCUUUUACAAAUUUAAUUCCUCCUUUCCAUAGAUACGCUGAAGCUCACGUGUUGCUGCUUGAAAUGAUUCUUUCCAUGUGCGGAAGGAUUUCUGAUUGAUAGGUGCUCCAAAAACAGUUUGAAUUACAUCAAAUAACAUGCUUUCAGGAGUGCUCCUCAAUUCUUGUACAAUCUGAUAAAUAGUCUUUCCAUUAUCAAAGUAUAUAUGAUUGUUUGGAUGCUUAGUCUUGCAACCAGCAUGGCGUUCAAACUCAUAUGCAUUGAGCACCUUGGAGGAAUUACAUGAUUGACAACUACAGAGAUACCCAGAACCUUUUAUAAUGCCACGAAGCUCCUUAUUACAUUCAGCAAAUAAUGUCAGUAAAUAAAAAAUUCAGACAAACGAAUAAAUGGCAAAAUGAGAAAAAAAAAAUACAAAAGGGUACUUACCUCCCUUGACAAAGAAACAUACUUUACAGGGACCCCAUCCAGCAUACCAGUUGAAAUCAAACUUCUGACAUUUGAAGGAAAGCUGUUUGGAGCUUCUCUUCGAGUAGUUUUGACUUCUUGUUUGUUCCUGGAAACAGAUUCAGGUUUUGACUUAGCUACUUGGGUGUUACUAGCAGCUGCAUUGGCAUUUGACAUAUCCAACUCUUUUUCAUGAAUUGCUUCAGGUGUUUGAACUAAGGAUUGAUUGUAGGACUGUUCAUAACUGCUGAUGGGCCUGCCAACAGGUAUAAUACCACGUGCAUUAUGAAAUCCCCCGAAAGAAAUCAUAUUGGCAUCUUCUUUAUUGUAGGUUUCACUUAUAGGAAUGGAAUUGUCAUCUGGCAUGGAAUUGUCAUCUCCUUUUAUAUAUGCAGUACAUGUUGAUACAAUAUGGGCAUCUCUAUUGUAGCUGUGACCCAUUAGAGUAACAUUGCCGUGCUCCUUAUCAUAGGCCUGCCCCAUUGAUAUAAAACUAUUUUCAUUUUCCCUAUUAAAGGCAUGACCUGUAGAGAUAUCACUGUUACUCUCAUUGAUAAAACUGUGCCCCUUAGGAUCAUGCACACCAUUGUUAGAAUCCUUAACUUGAUUGACUUUAACUUUUCUAAAACCAUUGCAACUAAGACAGGCUUCCGGAUCUUCCAAAGUGUGAGAUAUAGACAGACUAACAGAUGCAUUUGAGUCAUCUGUUACAGGACACAUGGUUCUUUCAGAAAAAUCGACAGAUCUUGCUGUUUCAGGUCCAAACAAAUGGUAAAUAAAUUGAUUUGGAACUGACUGAAAACCAGAGGGGUUGUCCAAAGAAGAAAUAUUUGCACAGGAAAUUUGCGAACUUGAUGUGCUGUUUGGUGUUUGCCGUGCUUGCUUCUUGUUUGGGAACAGCUCAGGUUCAGCUGCAUUUACAAACCACUGAUGAGAUCGUUUAGGUUCAAUUCUUGAAGGACUAUCAAAUGGGGGAUCUCCAUCAGCACCCUUUGCCAUCCACAAACCCUUAUUCUGAAAAGACAUUUUUAUUCUCCACAGUUUCUAUUCCUCUUUAUGAUAGUAGUGAUCUUCAAACACUACCUGCUUUUCUGAUGACCGAUAAACUGAGAGGAUCACCGGUAGCCGUGAGUAGAGCGGUGAAUUUAUCAGUCGAGCGGCACCAACGGCGAAAAUUGAGCGAGAAAACAGUUGGGAUAUUGUGUGAG